UAACGCGAAGAACCUUACCAGGUCUUGACAUCUUCUGCUAACCUAAGAGAUUAGGCGUUCCCUUCGGGGACGGAAUGACAGGUGGUGCAUGGUUGUCGUCAGCUCGUGUCGUGAGAUGUUGGGUUAAGUCCCGCAACGAGCGCAACCCUCGCCUUUAGUUGCCAGCAUGAUUGGGUGGGCACUCUAAAGGAACUGCCGGUGACAAGCCGGAGGAAGGUGGGGAUGACGUCAAGUCCUCAUGGCCCUUAUGUCCUGGGCUACACACGUGCUACAAUGGCGGUGACAGUGGGAAGCCAGGCAGCGAUGCCGAGCUAAUCUCUUAAAGCCGUUCUCAGUUCGGAUUGUAGGCUGCAACUCGCCUACAUGAAGUUGGAAUCGCUAGUAAUCGUGGAUCAGC
rnacentral:rRNA from 1 species